rnacentral:rRNA from 1 species
UAUGAACGCUGGCGGCGUGCCUAAUACAUGCAAGUCGAGCGAACGGACGAGAAGCUUGCUUCUCUGAUGUUAGCGGCGGACGGGUGAGUAACACGUGGAUAACCUACCUAUAAGACUGGGAUAACUUCGGGAAACCGGAGCUAAUACCGGAUGAUAUUUUGAACCGCAUGGUUCAAAAGUGAAAGACGGUCUUGCUGUCACUUAUAGAUGGAUCCGCGCUGCAUUAGCUAGUUGGUAAGGUAACGGCUUACCAAGGCAACGAUGCAUAGCCGACCUGAGAGGGUGAUCGGCCACACUGGAACUGAGACACGGUCCAGACUCCUACGGGAGGCAGUAGUAGGGAAUCUUCCGCAAUGGGCGAAAGCCUGACGGAGCAACGCCGCGUGAGUGAUGAAGGUCUUCGGAUCGUAAAACUCUGUUAUUAGGGAAGAACAUAUGUGUAAGUAACUGUGCACAUCUUGACGGUACCUAAUCAGAAAGCCACGGCUAACUACGUG